GGCAGCACGGGAGCUUGCUCCUGGUGGCGAGUGGCGAACGGGUGAGUAAUGUAUCGGAACGUACCCCGUCGUGGGGGAUAACUCUCCGAAAGGAGAGCUAAUACCGCAUACGACCCGAGGGUGAAAGCGGGGGACCUGGGGUAACCUGGGCCUCGCGCGAUGGGAGCGGCCGAUAUCGGAUUAGCUAGUUGGUGGGGUAAAGGCCUACCAAGGCGACGAUCCGUAGCGGGUCUGAGAGGACGACCCGCCACACUGGAACUGAGACACGGUCCAGACUCCUACGGGAGGCAGCAGUGGGGAAUUUUGGACAAUGGGCGCAAGCCUGAUCCAGCCAUUCCGCGUGAGUGAAGAAGGCCUUCGGGUUGUAAAGCUCUUUCAGCAGGAACGAAACGGUGGGUCUUAAUACGGCCUGCUAAUGACGGUACCUGCAGAAGAAGCACCGGCUAACUACGUGCCAGCAGCCGCGGUAAUACGUAGGGUGCGAGCGUUAAUCGGAAUUACUGGGCGUAAAGCGUGCGCAGGCGGCGACAUAAGACAGAUGUGAAAUCCCCGGGCUCAACCUGGGAACGGCGUUUGUGACUGUGUGGCUAGAGUGUAGCAGA
rnacentral:rRNA from 1 species